UACGUAGGGGGCUAGCGUUGUCCGGAAUCAUUGGGCGUAAAGCGCGUGUAGGCGGUCCGGUAAGUCCGCUGUGAAAGUCGGGGGCUCAACCCUCGAAUGCCGGUGGAUACUGUCGAGCUUGAGUCCGGAAGAGGCGAGUGGAAUUCCUGGUGUAGCGGUGAAAUGCGCAGAUAUCAGGAGGAACACCUAUGGCGAAGGCAGCUCGCUGGGACGUGACUGACGCUGAGACGCGAAAGCGUGGGGAGCAAACAGG
rnacentral:rRNA from 1 species